GGGCCCGUGGCGCAGCAUGGCUAGCGCGUUCGGCUGAUAGCCCUGCGGGCGGAGACCGGAAGGUCGAGGGUUCGAAUCCCUCCGGGCCCA
rnacentral:tRNA from 1 species